GUGGGGAAUAUUGGACAAUGGGCGCAAGCCUGAUCCAGCCAUGCCGCGUGAGUGAUGAAGGCCCUAGGGUUGUAAAGCUCUUUCACCGGAGAAGAUAAUGACGGUAUCCGGAGAAGAAGCCCCGGCUAACUUCGUGCCAGCAGCCGCGGUAAUACGAAGGGGGCUAGCGUUGUUCGGAAUUACUGGGCGUAAAGCGCACGUAGGCGGACAUUUAAGUCAGGGGUGAAAUCCCAGGGCUCAACCCCGGAACUGCCUUUGAUACUGGGUGUCUGGAGUAUGGAAGAGGUAAGUGGAAUUCCGAGUGUAGAGGUGAAAUUCGUAGAUAUUCGGAGGAACACCAGUGGCGAAGGCGGCUUACUGGUCCAUUACUGACGCUGAGGUGCGAAAGCGUGGGGAGCAAACAGGAUUAGAAACCCGUGUAGUCC
rnacentral:rRNA from 1 species